rnacentral:rRNA from 1 species
AUUGAACGCUGGCGGCAUGCUUUACACAUGCAAGUCGAACGGCAGCGCGGGCUUCGGCCUGGCGGCGAGUGGCGAACGGGUGAGUAAUGCAUCGGAACGUGCCCAGUAGUGGGGGAUAGCCCGGCGAAAGCCGGAUUAAUACCGCAUACGACCUGAGGGUGAAAGCGGGGGACCGAAAGGCCUCGCGCUAUUGGAGCGGCCGAUGACGGAUUAGCUAGUUGGUGGGGUAAAGGCUUACCAAGGCGACGAUCCGUAGCUGGUCUGAGAGGACGACCAGCCACACUGGAACUGAGACACGGCCCAGACUCCUACGGGAGGCAGCAGUGGGGAAUUUUGGACAAUGGGGGCAACCCUGAUCCAGCCAUGCCGCGUGCGGGAAGAAGGCCUUCGGGUUGUAAACCGCUUUUGUUCGGGAAGAAAUCCUCUGGGCUAAUACCCCGGGGGGAUGACGGUACCGGAAGAAUAAGCACCGGCUAACUACGUG